AUCCAGUUGACGAGUCCAAAAUAGGACUAAACACGCGUCCUAGAU
rfam:Schistosoma mattheei strain Denwood, Zambia genome assembly, scaffold: SMTD_contig0001994